AAGACACUAGUAUAGUUGAAAAUACACUGCUUUGUCAGGGCAGAGUCGUGGGUUAAACCCCCGCGUGUCUUA
rnacentral:tRNA from 1 species